AGGAUGAGACNGCGCCCGAUCAGGUAGUNGGUGAGGUAACGGCUCACCAAGCCUAUAACCGGUACGGGCCCUGAGAGGGGNAGCCCGGAGAUGGGAACUGAGACAAGGUCCCAGGCCCUACGGNGCGCAGCAGGCGCGGAAACCUCCGCAAUGCGCGAAAGCGUGACGGGGUUAUCCCGAGUGCCAUCCGCUGAGGAUGGCUUUUCCUCGGUGUAAGGGAGCCGAGGGAAUAAGGGGAGGGCAAGUCUGGUGUCAGCCGCCGCGGUAAUACCAGNCUCCCCGAGUAGUGGGGACGAUUAUUUGGCCUAAAGCGUCCGUAGCCAGUCUAACAAGUCUCUCGANAAAAUNNNUGACGACCUAAUUGUCAGGGUGCGGGAGAUACUGCCAGACUAGAGGGCGAGAGAGGUCGACGGUAGUCCCGGGGUAGGGGUGAAAUCCUAUAAUCCUGGGAGGACCACCAGUGGCAAAGGCGGUCGAAUAGAGCGUGCCUGACGGUGAGGGACGAAAGCUGGGGGAGCGAACCGGAUUAGAUACCCGGGUAGUCCCAGCUGUAAACGAUGCAGGCUAGGUGUUGGGGUGGCUACGGGCCACCCCAGUGCCGCAGGGAAGCCGUUAAGCCUGCCGCCUGGGAAGUACGGUCGCAAGGCUGAAACUUAAAGGAAUUGGCGGGGGAGCAC
rnacentral:rRNA from 1 species